AUUGAACGCUGGCGGCAUGCUUUACACAUGCAAGUCGAACGGUAACAGGGUGCUUGCACCGCUGACGAGUGGCGAACGGGUGAGUAAUGCAUCGGAACGUACCCAGUCGUGGGGGAUAACGUAGCGAAAGUUACGCUAAUACCGCAUACGUCCUGAGGGAGAAAGCGGGGGACCGUAAGGCCUCGCGCGAUUGGAGCGGCCGAUGUCGGAUCAGCUAGUUGGUAGGGUAAAGGCCUACCAAGGCGACGAUCCGUAGCGGGUCUGAGAGGAUGAUCCGCCACACUGGGACUGAGACACGGCCCAGACUCCUACGGGAGGCAGCAGUGGGGAAUUUUGGACAAUGGGCGAAAGCCUGAUCCAGCCAUGCCGCGUGAGUGAAGAAGGCCUUCGGGUUGUAAAGCUCUUUCAGCCGGAAAGAAGUCGCGCAGGAUAAUACUCUGCGUGGAUGACGGUACCGGCAGAAGAAGCACCGGCUAACUACGUGCCAGCCGCCGCCGUAAGAC
rnacentral:rRNA from 1 species